CGGAGUAUAGCGCAGCCUGGUAGCGCAUCAGUCUGGGGGACUGAGGGCCGUCGGUUCAAAUCCGGCUACUCCGACCA
rnacentral:tRNA from 1 species